UUCUUCUCCCGUUCUUUCUUCCUUUCUCCUUUCUUUGUUUUUCACUUCUUCUCUUUCUUCUUUAAUUGAACAUUAAAUAACAGUGCAAGACAAAACAAAGGUCACAUGUUGGUCUUCUUCCAGAGCUUCUCUCCCCUUCCAUUUUUCUUUCCUUUUCUUUGUUCCUUUCUUUGGCAAGAAAAUAAGAUUCGGGAUUUUCUCUCCCAGAGAUGUCAAAAUGUUUUUCCUCCUCUUAUUUUCUCUUCAUCUCUCCAGUUUUUUCCUGCACCGCCAUCUACCCAAAUCGUUCUUCCUCUCAUCAGCUGAAUCAUGUGUACGCUGGAUCAUCCACCAUUAUAAAAGCAAAAAAAAAAAAAAAUAUGGAGAUCGUUUGCCCUUUUAAACUUUCUUCAUCUCCUUCUCAGAAAUUGUCAUCUUUAUCGGUGAUUUUUGUGGGUUUUUUUUCCUAAUACUUGAUUGUACUUUCUAUGGUGUUGUAGGUGGAAAGGUUGAAUAUUUACAUUGACUCCAGAUUCAAGGGAUUUUUUUUAUGGAGAGCAAUGAAGGAGGGGAUGAUAAUGUUCUGGAUGGUUUAGCAAGUCAAAAAAGCUUCUGAGGUCUUCAAGAAAGCAGGGACUUAUGAUGACAAAAAGUUGUUUGGCGUCACUAUACUCGAUGUUGUCAGGGCGAAGACAUUCUAUGCUGGGAAGGCCGAAGUCAAUGUUGCAGGAAAUGACCAUAUUUUCUGUUUUGUUACUGGUGGGUCUGCUCAUGUGCAAAUGCAACUUAGCACCAAAGAGUGUGAGAGUCUGGGAUUAACUGGUCUGGCUCUCUGCUUAGACUGCAACACUUUUGCUGAGUACGUCAAGGACCAAGGAUCUAUUGAGGCAUGAGAGUAACAGAAGCCGUGGUGACAUCCCUUUCAUGUAUGUCAUUAUUGUGGGUUUGCUUAGCCUUGUUCUGGGUUAUCUUUUGAAGAGGACGUAAUCAAUCAAGGUUUGGCGUAACCUGCAAUAUCAUGUGUUACAGUCUGUUUCAAAAUAUUUAGAUCAUUGAAGACAAAUGUACAGCUGAUGUCUGUUUCAAAAUAUUUAGAUCAUUGAAGACAAAUGUACAACUGAUCGGGAAGCGCUCAGUAUCAUGUAGCCAUCUGAUUGACUGUAGAAACAUGCUUAAGAAGGUGCUUGAUGGAUUUUUGUUAUUGCCUUGGGGGUUUUAGAGCAUUCAUUGUGUGACUAAUUGCUGUAACGUGUUAUUUUGGAAACUUAAGCGAUGGACAUAUUUUUA